rnacentral:misc_RNA from 1 species
CAGAUUUUUUGUCUAAGUACUUAACUUGUCAAAAGGUAAAGUUUGAGCAUUAGAGACCAUCAGGGAGGUUGCAAGAGAUUCCCAUUGUAACACCCUCAUACUAAGUAGUCCUGUACAUUCUAAUAUUCCAGUGAUUAAUGUCUGUCCGGACAGCUAGAAUGUCUAUAAUUAUACUUAACUCACAUAGAAAAGCCACAAAUAAAAUUGAUAAAG